UACGUAGGGUGCGAGCGUUAAUCGGAAUUACUGGGCGUAAAGCGUGCGCAGGCGGUUUUGUAAGACAGCUGUGAAAUCCCCGGGCUCAACCUGGGAACUGCGGUUGUGACUGCAAGACUGGAGUGUGGCAGAGGGGGGUGGAAUUCCACGUCUAGCAGUGAAAUGCGUAGAGAUGUGGAGGAACACCGAUGGCGAAGGCAGCCCCCUGGGUCAACACUGACGCUCAUGCACGAAAGCGUGGGGAGCAAACAGG
rnacentral:rRNA from 1 species